AGCGAACGCUGGCGGCAGGCCUAACACAUGCAAGUCGAACGAACCUUUCGGGGUUAGUGGCGGACGGGUGAGUAACACGUGGGAACGUGCCUUUAGGUUCGGAAUAACUCAGGGAAACUUGUGCUAAUACCGAAUGUGCCCUUCGGGGGAAAGAUUAAUCGCCUUUAGAGCGGCCCGCGUCUGAUUAGCUAGUUGGUUGAGGUAAUGGCUCACCAAGGCGACGAUCAGUAGCUGGUCUGAGAGGAUGAUCAGCCACAUUGGGACUGAGACACGGCCCAAACUCCUACGGGAGGCAGCAGUGGGGAAUCUUGCGCAAUGGGCGAAAGCCUGACGCAGCCAGGCCGCGGGAAUGAUGAAGGUCUUAGGAUGGUAAAAUUCUUUCACCGGGGACGAUAAUGACGGUACCCGGAGAAGAAGCCCCGGCGAACUUCGU
rnacentral:rRNA from 1 species